GAUGAACGCUAGCGGCAGGCCUAAUACAUGCAAGACGAACGGUAAGUUGAGUAGCAAUACUUAGCCAAGAGUGUCGUACGGGUGCGUAACACGUAUGCAACCUACCCUAUACAGGAGGAUAGCCUAGGGAAACCUGGAUUAACCCUUCAUAGUAUUAUUGGAUGGCAUCAUUUGAUAAUUAAAACUGAGGUGGUAUAGGAUGGGCAUGCGUCUGAUUAGUUAGUUGGCGGGGUAAUGGCCCACCAAGACGAUGAUCAGUAGGGGUUCUGAGAGGAAGAUCCCCCACACUGGCACUGAGAUACGGGCCAGACUCCUACGGGAGGCAGCAGUAGGGAAUAUUGGUCAAUGGAUGCAAGUCUGAACCAGCCAUGCCGCGUGCAGGAAGAAGGCCUUCUGGGUUGUAAACUGCUUUUUGCCAGGGGAUAAAAUUUCCAUGCGUGGAAAACUGAAGGUACCUGGUGAAUAAGCCACGGCUAACUACGUGCCAGCAGCCGCGGUAAUC
rnacentral:rRNA from 1 species